rnacentral:lncRNA from 1 species
AAGAAAUGGAGAAGUGGAGCUCUGAGCAGGAAAUAGGAGCAUCAAGAAUUCACAAGAUAUUUGUCCCUGGAUACAUAUAUUGAA